AUGGGAGGAUUGCUUGAGGCCAGGAGUUCUAGGCCAGCCUUGGCCACAUAGUAAGACCCUGUAUCUACAAAAAAAAAAAAAAAAAAAAUUAGCCAGGCAUGGUGGUGUCUCUGCGGUACUAGCUACUUGGGAGGUUGAGGUGGUAGGAUCACAGGCGCCCAGCAAUUCCAGCCUGCAGUUAGAUAGCCUGGGCGACAGAAUGGUACCAUGUCUGAAAAAAUAAAACUUACAGAUAUGUUUUGAAUAUUUAUUGUAUGCAUCCUCUGUGAUGUGUCAUUUUAUUGGAAAUUAUUGCAUUGUCUACAAAAAUAUGAAGAACUCUGAGGAUGCCAAAAGAUAAACCUCAAAAGAGUACUAGAAGUGAGAUCCUCAAAAAGAGAAAGCUGAGAAGUGUUUCCCAAUUUUUCUUAUUUAUGUAUGUAAUACUUUAUGUCUAAAAACUGAAUUUCAGAGCUGGGAGGAAACUUAAAAGUUGCUCAGUCUAGUUUUUUCAGGUUGGUGCCAAGAAAGCUGAUCAGACUUGCCCAAAAUUGAACAGUCUUAAAUCUGAGCUGAGGCAGGCAUCUGACUGUCUUAAAUUGGAGUUAAAUGUAUUAGCGUCAUGGUAUUAACAUCAUCAUAUUCCACAUCUCAAAUCUUAUUUGAUUUUCAUUACAAUAGUGAAAUAAGUGUGAUUAGUAUUAUCCCCAUUUCCUUCACCAGGAGGCACAUUGUUUUAGUAUCAAAAGCAGCUACCUUGGGAGAAUCUGGGGCUAGAAACCUGACCUCAUUUCAAGUUUUACUCUGUUGCACCAAAACCUUGGGUGAGUUACUCAAUUUCUCAGCUUCAGUCCCCUCAUCAGGAAAAUGCUGUCUUAGCACUUUCUGUGAAGGAUGAUCAAAGGAGUGGAGAUUAUUGUAGAGAUUGUAAACACACUUGACACAGAGUAAGUGUUUAAGAACUGGCAGCUGGUUUUUACAAAGUUAUUGGUCAUAGAAGGCAGUUUCGAGGAAAGGGCAGGCUUUGGAGUGGCUCAGAGUUGUGUUAUAACCUUGGCUUCUUUGCUUACCUAGGACAUACACUCUAGCUGUAGCGUCCUCCCCUCUGAGAUGGAAAUUACAAGCCAUCUCGCAAUGUUGUGAGGAUUGGAGCUCAAGGGUGUAAAAUGCCUCCUCUGGGGGCUCUCCUUGGAGACGUCUUGUAUCCUAUUGAUUGUCAUCGAAGGAAAGAAGUGGCAGGAUGAUGGUGUAAGAAGGAAGAACCUUGAGUUUAAUAGUCUGAAAAAGUGGUUACAGGUUCUUGCUGUGCUUUUUCUCUCUGCGGUUUUCUGAACCCAUCGCCUAACCUGAAGCCUUAGUUCAUCUGCAAAAAUGUUUUGUGGCAGGUGCCUCUGAAGCAGAACUCUUGAGAUGGAAGGGUUGUCAUCUGAGGAAAAAAAAUCGAGAUUAAGAGAGGAGGGACUAGAAUGAGAUUCACUUACCCUCUCUCCUCCAAGGGAAGGAGAGAAUGGUGAUGCCUGCCCAAUCCUUCCUGGGCAGAACCUUUGUAGCAUGGAACAUUGGAGAAUUUGCAGUCUGCUGACUUUCUGAUUUAGGAGGUUGAUGGGGAGGCCUUAUAAUUUGCAUUUCUAACAAGUUCUGAGGUGAUGCUUCAAAUAUGUCCAGGCAGAAGGGCCGCCACACAGAGAUUUCUGCCAUACCACAUGAGAAUUGAAGCCACAGACAUCUCCAACCCUCAAGCCUGAAACCAAAAGACUGAAAACCAAAUACAAUGGUGGACAGAGAACAUCUUAGAACUUCUGUGGGGACCAGUGACACAAGGACCUAAGGUCUCUCUCUUCUCAUCUUGGCACUUCGGGUAGUCUCCCCAGUCUUGACAAAGCCCUGGAGAAAGGGGCGGGCCUCCCGUUGAUAAGAUUGUCACUGCAGAUAAAUGGAGGUUUCAACUUGAAAGAAAGGAGGAGGGCCUCCCGUUUGAUAAGAUUAUUGUCACUGCAGGUAAAUGGAGGCUUCAAAUAGAAAUAGGUUUCAGUUACAGAAAAAAAAUUAUCUUUGUUACACAUUUGAGUUUGCAGGCCUAAGGUUACUCCCGCUACAUUGUCAUCUGUAACCAUAAGGCACUCAACAUUUUAAGCUAACUAUAAGGAUUUUUGCUUCACUCAAAGAUCCUGAGGUUUUAUUCACAUUUUUAUUUGGUGACUAUAGUUGACAAGAACAAAGCUGUGGGGAAUCAACAAACACUGCCAUGCCUGGCAUUGUCACCUCACUAGAUUGUGCAUUCCUCUGGGACAGGGUCCAUACAUUUCCUUCGAAUCCCUCACUUAGUCAUUAGCCUGCACGGUGCUUGUACUUAGUAGGUGCUCAAUAAAUGUUUGUGGAAUGAAUGCAUGAUGAACAAAA